rnacentral:rRNA from 1 species
CUACGGGGCGCUGCAGUGAGGAAUAUUGCACAAUGGGGGGAACCCUGAUGCAGCAACGCCGCGUGGAGGAUGACGCAUUUCGGUGUGUAAACUCCUUUUAUAUGUCAAGAAAAUGACGGUAGCAUAUGAAUAAGCGCCGGCUAACUCCGUGCCAGCAGCCGCGGUAAUACGGAGGGCGCAAGCGUUACUCGGAAUCACUGGGCGUAAAGGGCGCGUAGGCGGGUUGAAAAGUCAGGUGUGAAAGCCUACAGCUUAACUGUAGAACUGCACUUGAAACUCUCAAUCUAGAGUAUGGGAGGGGCAGAUGGAAUUAGUGGUGUAGGGGUAAAAUCCGUAGAUAUCACUAGGAAUACCUAAAGCGAAGGCGAUCUGCUGGAACAUUACUGACGCUAAGGCGUGAAAGCGUGGGGAGCAAACAGGAUUAGAUACCCGCGUAGUC